GGGCCGUUAGCUCAGUGGUUAGAGCAGGGGACUCAUAAUCCCUUGGUCGCUGGUUCGAACCCAGCACGGCCUACCA
rnacentral:tRNA from 11 species